rnacentral:rRNA from 1 species
AUUGAACGCUGGCGGCAGGCCUAACACAUGCAAGUCGAGCGGAUGAAGGGAGCUUGCUCCUGGAUUCAGCGGCGGACGGGUGAGUAAUGCCUAGGAAUCUGCCUGGUAGUGGGGGAUAACGUCCGGAAACGGGCGCUAAUACCGCAUACGUCCUGAGGGAGAAAGUGGGGGAUCUUCGGACCUCACGCUAUCAGAUGAGCCUAGGUCGGAUUAGCUAGUUGGUGGGGUAAUGGCCUACCAAGGCGACGAUCCGUAACUGGUCUGAGAGGAUGAUCAGUCACACUGGAACUGAGACACGGUCCAGACUCCUACGGGAGGCAGCAGUGGGGAAUAUUGGACAAUGGGCGAAAGCCUGAUCCAGCCAUGCCGCGUGUGUGAAGAAGGUCUUCGGAGUGGAAAGCACUUUAAGUUGGGAGGAAGGGCAGUAAGUUAAUACCUUGCUGUUUUGACGGUACCAACAGAAUAAGCACCGGCUAACUUCGUG